ensembl:ncRNA C06E4.21 ncRNA
AUUUCAUAUUUCUUGUAGUUUUUCUCGAGUAGAGUUACACACUGAAACCAUUCGUCACAAAGAAUAGUUGUCUGGAACUAGCCAGGUGUUUUCAAUAAAGCAAUCAUACUCUAUACAAAAAAGUAGUUUGAUGAGAGACAAUAGUAACCAAAAAUAAGUGAAUGGCGCGAACGGACAAUCUCAAGUAUCUUCAUCCGUUCUUUAAAAUAUAUAUUUGAUUUAUUG